ACGGAGGGCGCUAGCGUUGUUCGGAAUCACUGGGCGUAAAGGGCGCGUAGGCGGCCAUGUAAGUCGAGGGUGAAAGCCCGGGGCUCAACCCCGGAACGGCCUUCGAGACUGCGUGGCUAGAGGACGGAAGAGGAGAGUGGAAUACCCAGUGUAGAGGUGAAAUUCGUAGAUAUUGGGUGGAACACCAGUGGCGAAAGCGGCUCUCUGGUCCGGAUCUGACGCUGAGGCGCGAAAGCGUGGGGAGCAAACAGG
rnacentral:rRNA from 1 species